rnacentral:rRNA from 1 species
AACGCGAAGAACCUUACCAAGGCUUAAAUGGGAAAUGACAGGUUUAGAAAUAGACUUUUCUUCGGACAUUUUUCAAGGUGCUGCAUGGUUGUCGUCAGCUCGUGCCGUGAGGUGUUAGGUUAAGUCCUGCAACGAGCGCAACCCCUGUCACUAGUUGCCAUCAUUAAGUUGGGGACUCUAGUGAGACUGCCUACGCAAGUAGAGAGGAAGGUGGGGAUGACGUCAAAUCAUCAUGGCCCUUACGAGUAGGGCUACACACGUGCUACAAUGGCGCAUACAAAGAGAAGCGACCUCGCGAGAGCAAGCGGACCUCAUAAAGUGCGUCGUAGUCCGGAUUGGAGUCUGCAACUCGACUCCAUGAAGUCGGAAUCGCUAGUAAUCGUAGAUCAGAAUGCUACGGUGAAUACGUUCCCGGGUCUUGUACACACCG